GACGAAGGUGGCGAGCGUUGUUCGGAAUCACUGGGCAUAAAGCGCACGUAGGCGGCUUUGCAAGUUAGAGGUGAAAGCCCGGGGCUCAACUCCGGAAUUGCCUUUAAAACUGCAUCGCUAGAAUUGUGGAGAGGUAAGUGGAAUUCCGAGUGUAGAGGUGAAAUUCGUAGAUAUUCGGAAGAACACCAGUGGCGAAGGCGACUUACUGGACACAUAUUGACGCUGAGGUGCGAAAGCGUGGGGAGCAAACAGG
rnacentral:rRNA from 1 species